UACGGGGGGGGCAAGCGUUGUUCGGAAUUACUGGGCGUAAAGGCUCGUAGGCGGCCAACUAAGUCAGACGUGAAAUCCCUCGGCUUAACCGGGGAACUGCGUCUGAUACUGGAUGGCUAGAGGUUGGGAGAGGGAUGCGGAAUUCCAGGUGUAGCGGUGAAAUGCGUAGAUAUCUGGAGGAAUACCGGUGGCGAAGGCGGCAUCCUGGACCGGCAUUGACGCUGAGGAGCGAAAGCUAGGGGAGCAAACGGG
rnacentral:rRNA from 1 species